UCCGGCCCACAUACUGUGAAGAAUGAUGGCAUUUGGGCGGUCCGCUCCUGUUUGCCAAAUUUGGGCCACAAGCAAGCCAUAGGUAGGCCGCAUGUCAGCCAUGAAAAUA